rnacentral:rRNA from 1 species
UAGUGACAAGAAAUAACAAUACAGGGCCUUACGGUUUUGUAAUUGGAAUGAGUUAAGUAUAAACCCCUUAACAAGGAUCAAUUGGAGGGCAAGUCUGGUGCCAGCAGCCGCGGUAAUUCCAGCUCCAAUAGCGUAUAUUAAAGUUGUUGCAGUUAAAAAGCUCGUAGUUAAUUUUAUGUUAAUUUUUAUAUACAAUGAUACGGUAUUUAUAUAAUAUUAACAUAAGUCAUAUUACUUUUUAAGUAUAUGAAACUUUACUUUGAGAAAAUUAGAGUGCUUAAAGCAGG